UCCAAGGCGUUUAGUUUCAGCAACUAGCACACAGACUUUUUUUGAAAAAAAUAUUUCAAAUUUACAAUUUUUCUCCCCUAAAAUAAAAACUGUAAUAUUUUAUAUAAAAAUUGCUUUCUAUCUUUUUAGAUGGCACCAUUACCAUGAUUUAAAGCCUAAUUUGGAAUGUUAUGGAAAUUCCUAGCAGUCUCUGUUAAAUAAUAGCUAUUGACUCGUCUAAAUAUCCUUAAAAUGUGGUGCAGUAUGUCGGCGAUGAAUCACCUGCUUCAUCGUUUCCACAUGGCACUUGUUGGCGGAAAGAUCUACUUUCUCAUAUGAAUGAACUUUUACUAACUCAUGGAAAAAGUUAUACGCAAUUGUUGACAUAUGACAAAACAUUUAAUUUUGGAGAGUUUUAUAUAUCUAUUCUUCUUAUGCGAGGAGUUUGUUUUACAGAAAUUUCUUUAAUACCAGCAAUGUUUAUGAUUCAUGAAAGAAAGUUAUAAAGUACUCAAAAAACUUUUGUUGAUAUUUUAAAAGAAAAACUGCCACCCUUAAUCGCCAACACUCUCGAUACAACAGAUGGAACUGCGGAUUCGGAUUUGUUCUUGAGAUAUAUGAUAUUACGGUUAUCUGCCACUAAUAAACUUGAAAUAUGGGAAAAAACUUAUUUUAAUACACCUCAACAACUCGACAACAGUUUCUGCCUCCCUAAAAAGCCAGCCUUACGGCAGAAAGUUACUUUGCCGCCGGGCGACAUUAUCAAUUCUGAACACUGCUUUCGUAAUUACGAACAUAAUUUUAUAAAAUACCAAUGCAUUAAAACUUGGAACAACCUUCCUUACAAAUAAAAAUCUCUCAAUUCAUUCUCAACCUUUAAAAUAAUAUAUAAAUAAGAUACAAGAUAUUUAAAACAUAAAGAGGAGUUGUUGAGAAAAGUAGAGCACUCAAGUUUGUUGAUGCUUUAUUGCUGACUGCAAGAGAUCAAAACUCGUGACCACAAUAUCUAUGAUACGCAUUCCUUAAGGGAACUUUAACAGGUUAUCUAAUCUGAAAUUGAUACGUUUAUCUAUCUGUUAUUAAGGAUAACGUUUAAUCUAAUCGGAAAUUUAUACGCUUUAAGUAUAUUAUUUGGAUGGUGCUACAGUUCCGGCUUUUAAUUCCAGUUUAAUUAACUAUCAUCUGUUCAGCUUUUUUUCGUGUAGUAAAAGUUCUGUAGCGCCAGGAAUCGUUUUCUUGA